rnacentral:rRNA from 1 species
GACGAACGCUGGCGGCGCGCCUAACACAUGCAAGUCGAACGAGCGAGAGAGAGCUUGCUUUCUUGAGCGAGUGGCGAAAGGGUGAGUAACGCGUGAGGAACCUGCCUCAAAGAGGGGGACAACAGUUGGAAACGACUGCUAAUACCGCAUAAGCCCACGGUGCCGCAUGGCACAGAGGGAAAAGGAGCAAUCCGCUUUGAGAUGGCCUCGCGUCCGGUUAGCUAGGUGGUGAGGUAACGGCCCACCAAGGCGACGAUCGGUAGCCGGACUGAGAGGUUGAACGGCCACAUUGGGACUGAGACACGGCCCAGACUCCUACGGGAGGCAGCAGUGGGGAAUAUUGCACAAUGGGGGAAACCCUGAUGCAGCGACGCCGCGUGGAGGAAGAAGGUCUUCGGAUUGUAAACUCCUGUUGUUGGGGAAGAUAAUGACGGUACCCAACAAGGAAGUGACGGCUAACUACGUG